rnacentral:tRNA from 1 species
GCCGGUGUAGCUCAGUUGGUAGAGCAGCUGACUUGUAAUCAGCAGGUCGGGGGUUCGAGUCCUCUCGCCGGCUCCA